rnacentral:rRNA from 1 species
GAUGAACGCUGGCGGCGUGCUUAACACAUGCAAGUCGAACGGAAAGGCCCAAGCUUGCUUGGGUACUCGAGUGGCGAGCGGGUGAGUAACACGUGGGUGAUCUGCCCUGCACUUCGGGAUAAGCCUGGGAAACUGGGUCUAAUACCGGAUAGGACCACAUUUUGGAUGGUGUGGUGGAAAGUUUUUCGGUGUGGGAUGAGCUCGCGGCCUAUCAGCUUGUUGGUGGGGUAAUGGCCUACCAAGGCGUCGACGGGUAGCCGGCCUGAGAGGGUGUACGGCCACAUUGGGACUGAGAUACGGCCCAGACUCCUACGGGAGGCAGCAGUGGGGAAUAUUGCACAAUGGGCGCCAGCCUGAUGCAGCGACGCCGCGUGGGGGAUGACGGCCUUCGGGUUGUAAACUCCUUUCGCUAGGGACGAAGCGUUAUGUGACGGUACCUGGAGAAGAAGCACCGGCUAACUACGUG